AAAUACCUCAUUAUUGAAUAGAUAAUACGAACUUCAGCCUGGCAAGUAUUAACCAAAACAAAUAUCCACCAACUUCAUGCCAUUCAAACAAUUUAGAGCACUACCUGGAUAUAAGCCUCAUUUCUAUCUCUAAGCUAAUAUAUUCAGCUUUAUACCAAAUUUGAUUGCACCAGAAAAGUUCUAAGACUUCUUUUUUUCUAUUCCUCUUGAACUAAGAUUGGGAACAAAAAUGAAUUUAGGAAUCACAAUACAACAAAAGAGGGGGAAAACAAAAGCAAUGACUAGAUAAUGCUUUACUAGAAGAUUA
rnacentral:misc_RNA from 1 species